rnacentral:lncRNA from 1 species
UUCUAUUGUUUUGUCUUGUUUGCAGGUUUUGGUGAAGUCAACGGAGACGGAAAGCUUCCAUUUUGGUGCAAGGCGCAGCUGGCGGUGGCAGACCUCGGGCGUGGUGCACGCUGAAGGCGCACAUGGGUAGCAGCGGCGCGAGGCAAGGGCAGGGAACCCUAGGGUUCCCUGUGUUGUUUAGUUUUUGGGCCCCAAUGGGCCGUUUUAUGGACUGAUAUAUAUUUUAUUUUUUUAGUUUUGUUUCGGGCUCGGGCUAAAUUGGGCCUCUACAUUGAGUUUUGG